rnacentral:rRNA from 1 species
AUUGAACGCUGGCGGCAGGCCUAACACAUGCAAGUCGAGCGGAUGAGGGGUGCUUGCACCCUGAUUCAGCGGCGGACGGGUGAGUAAUGCCUAGGAAUCUGCCCGAUAGUGGGGGACAACGUUUCGAGAGGAACGCUAAUACCGCAUACGUCCUACGGGAGAAAGGGGGGGCUCUUCGGACCUCACGCUAUCGGAUGAGCCUAGGUCGGAUUAGCUAGUUGGUGGGGUAAAGGCUCACCAAGGCGACGAUCCGUAACUGGUCUGAGAGGAUGAUCAGUCACACUGGAACUGCGACACGGUCCAGACUCCUACCGGAGGCAGCAGUGGGGAAUAUAGGACAAUGGGCGAAAGCCUGAUCCAGCCAUGCCGCGUGUGUGAAGAAGGUCUUCGGAUUGUAAAGCACUUUAAGUCGGGAGGAAGGGCUGCAGGUUAAUACCUUGCAGCCUUGACGUUACCGACAGAAUAAGCACCGGCUAACUUCGUGCCAGCAGCCGCGGUAACAC